rnacentral:misc_RNA from 1 species
AACGCACGAGACCUGCGGACCUGCGGAGGGAUCAUUACCGAGUUAUACAACUCCCAAACCCACUGUGAACCUUACCUCAGUUGCCUCGGCGGGAACGCCCCGGCCGCCUGCCCCCGCGCCGGCGCCGGACCCAGGCGCCCGCCGCAGGGACCCCAAACUCUCUUGCAUUACGCCCAGCGGGCGGAAUUUCUUCUCUGAGUUGCACAAGCAAAAACAAAUGAAUCAAAACUUUUAGCAACG